rnacentral:rRNA from 1 species
GACUAAGCGUACACGGUGGAUGCCCUGGCAGUCAGAGGCGAUGAAGGACGUGCUAAUCUGCGAUAAGCGUCGGUAAGGUGAUAUGAACCGUUAUAACCGGCGAUUUCCGAAUGGGGAAACCCAGUGUGAUUCGUCACACUAUCAUUAACUGAAUCCAUAGGUUAAUGAGGCGAACCGGGGGAACUGAAACAUCUAAGUACCCCGAGGAAAAGAAAUCAACCGAGAUUCCCCCAGUAGCGGCGAGCGAACGGGGAGCAGCCCAGAGCCUGAAUCAGUGUGUGUGUUAGUGGAAGCGUCUGGAAAGGCGCGCGAUACAGGGUGACAGCCCCGUACACAAAAAUGCACAUGCUGUGAGCUCGAUGAGUAGGGCGGGACACGUGGUAUCCUGUCUGAAUAUGGGGGGACCAUCCUCCAAGGCUAAAUACUCCUGACUGACCGAUAGUGAACCAGUACCGUGAGGGAAAGGCGAAAAGAACCCCGGCGAGGGGAGUGAAAAAGAACCUGAAACCGUGUACGUACAAGCAGUGGGAGCACAGAGCAAUCUGUGUGACUGCGUACCUUUUGUAUAAUGGGUCAGCGACUUAUAUUCUGUAGCAAGGUUAACCGAAUAGGGGAGCCGAAGGGAAACCGAGUCUUAACUGGGCGUUAAGUUGCAGGGUAUAGACCCGAAACCCGGUGAUCUAGCCAUGGGCAGGUUGAAGGUUGGGUAACACUAACUGGAGGACCGAACCGACUAAUGUUGAAAAAUUAGCGGAUGACUUGUGGCUGGGGGUGAAAGGCCAAUCAAACCGGGAGAUAGCUGGUUCUCCCCGAAAGCUAUUUAGGUAGCGCCUCGUGAAUUCAUCUCCGGGGGUAGAGCACUGUUUCGGCAAGGGGGUCAUCCCGACUUACCAACCCGAUGCAAACUGCGAAUACCGGAGAAUGUUAUCACGGGAGACACACGGCGGGUGCUAACGUCCGUCGUGAAGAGGGAAACAACCCAGACCGCCAGCUAAGGUCCCAAAGUCAUGGUUAAGUGGGAAACGAUGUGGGAAGGCCCAGACAGCCAGGAUGUUGGCUUAGAAGCAGCCAUCAUUUAAAGAAAGCGUAAUAGCUCACUGGUCGAGUCGGCCUGCGCGGAAGAUGUAACGGGGCUAAACCAUG